UACGUAGGGGGCAAGCGUUGUCCGGAUUUAUUGGGCGUAAAGAGCGUGUAGGCGGCCAGACAGGUCCGUUGUGAAAACUCGAGGCUCAACCUCGAGACGUCGGUUGAAACCACCUGGCUAGAGUCCGGAAGAGGAGAGUGGAAUUCCCGGUGUAGCGGUGAAAUGCGCAGAUAUCAGGAAGAACACCCGUGGCGAAGGCGGCUCUCUGGGACGGUACUGACGCUGAGACGCGAAAGCGUGGGAGCAAACAGG
rnacentral:rRNA from 1 species